rnacentral:rRNA from 1 species
GACGAACGCUGGCGGCGUGCCUAAUACAUGCAAGUCGAACGCAGUGGGGACGGGUGAGUAACAAGUGGGUAACCUCCCAUCAGAGGGGAUAACACUUGGAAGCAGGUGCUAAACCGAUACUGAUGGAUGAACCCGCGGUGCAUUAGCUAGUUGGUGAGGUAACGGCUAACCAAGGCCACGGUGCAUAGCCGACCGGAGAGGGGUAUCGGCCACACUGGGACUGAGACACGGCCCAGACCCCUACGGGAGGCAGCAGUAGGGAAGCUUCGGAAAUUGACGAAAGUCUGACCGAGCAACGCCGCUGGAGUGAAGAAGGUUUUCGGAGCGUAAAACUCUGUUGUUAGAGAAGCGGUAUCUAACCAGAAAGCCACGGCUAACUACGUGCCAGCAGCCGCGGUAAUAC